rnacentral:rRNA from 1 species
UACAGAGGUCCCGAGCGUUGUUCGGAUUCACUGGGCGUAAAGGGUGCGUAGGUGGCAGGGUAAGUCGGAUGUGAAAGCUCGGAGCUCAACUCCGAAAUGGCAUUGGAAACUACCCAGCUCGAGGGUUGGAGGGGGGACUGGAAUGCUUGGUGUAGCAGUGAAAUGCGUAGAUAUCAAGCGGAACACCAGUGGCGAAGGCGAGUCCCUGGACAACUCCUGACGCUGAGGCACGAAAGCUAGGGGAGCAAACAGG